rnacentral:tRNA from 1 species
GGGGAUUUGGCUCAGUGGUAGAGCACUUGCCUAGCAAGCGCAAGGCCCUGGGUUCAAUCCCCAGCUCCG